AUUGAACGCUGGCGGAAUGCUUUACACAUGCAAGUCGAACGGCAGCACGGACUUCGGUCUGGUGGCGAGUGGCGAACGGGUGAGUAAUGUAUCGGAACGUGCCCAGUCGUGGGGGAUAACGUAGUGAAAAUUACGCUAAUACCGCAUACGAUCUAUGGAUGAAAGCGGGGGAUCGCAAGACCUCGCGCGAUUGGAGCGGCCGAUAUCAGAUUAGGUAGUUGGUGGGGUAAAGGCCCACCAAGCCAACGAUCUGUAGCUGGUCUGAGAGGACGACCAGCCACACUGGCAGUGAGACACGGUGCAGAGUCCUACGGGUGGCAGCAGUGGGGAAUGUUGGACAAUGGGCGAAAGCCUGAUCCAGCCAUUCCGCGUGCAGGAUGAAGGCCCUCGGGUUGUAAACUGCUUUUGUACAGAACGAAAAGGUUUCUACUAAUACUAGGAGCUCAUGACGGUACUGUAAGAAUAAGCACCGGCUAACUACGUGCCAGCAGCCGCAGUAA
rnacentral:rRNA from 1 species